GCUGCUGCUGCUGUUUCUGCUGCUGCUGCUGCUGUGCUGCAGUCAGCAGCAGCAGCAGCAGAGAAUAAAGGGAGGACUGGUGUU
rnacentral:snoRNA from 1 species